rnacentral:tRNA from 1 species
UGGUAGGUAGGCAGUGGAGCCGAUAUCUUGUCACGGUGUCCAAUGCAACAAGUUCUGAGUCUUCCCCGUCAAC